rnacentral:rRNA from 1 species
UACGUAGGGGGGCAAGCGUUGUCCGGAAUUAUUGGGCGUAAAGAGCGUGUAGGCGGUCCGGUAAGUCAGCUGUGAAAGUCAAGGGCUCAACCCUUGAAUGCCGGUUGAUACUGUCGGGCUAGAGUCCGGAAGAGGCGAGUGGAAUUCCCGGUGUAGCGGUGAAAUGCGCAGAUAUCGGGAGGAACACCAAUGGCGAAGGCAGCUCGCUGGGACGGUACUGACGCUGAGACGCGAAAGCGUGGGGGAGCAAACAGG